AUGGCGGCAAUCAAUAAAUCACUUGUGUCACUACUUCCGAAGAAGGAAGGGGCGUUGGAUGUGGGCAAUUUUCGACUAAUGAACCUAGUGCAUGGGGCUAUCAAAAUAUUUGAGAAGGUUCUCUCGUCUCGGCUAGCGGUGGAACUUCCGAAUCUAGUGGGAAACCACCAGAGCAUGUUUGUGAAGGGGAGGUCCUUGCAUGAAAAUUUUAUGCUUGUACAGUGUAUGGCAUGA
rnacentral:rRNA from 1 species